GAUGAAGAACGUAGUGAAAUGCGAUAAGUAAUGUGAAUUGCAGAAUUCAGUGAAUCAUCGAAUCUUUGAACGCACAUUGCGCCCGCCAGUAUUCUGGCGGGCAUGCCUGUUCGAGCGUCAUUUCAACCAUCAAGCCCUGCUUGCGUUGGGGUCCUGCGGCUGCCCGCAGGCCCUGAAAACCAGUGGCGGGCUCGCUAGUCACACCGAGCGCAGUAAUACAUCUCGCUUUGGGCGUGCGGCGGGUUCUUGCCGUUAAACACCCCCUUUUUACCAAGGUUGACCUCGGAUCAGGUAGGAAUACCCGCUGAACUUAAGCAUAUCAAAAGCGGAGGA
rnacentral:misc_RNA from 1 species